GGUGCUUUGCUACUACAAUUUUGCUGCAGAGGCAACAAGUAGCAAGGGAAAAAGAAGAGCAUGAUUGACAUCCGUAGUCAAAAUGAGCUUUGGACAUCAGGUGGUUCAACGUGUCGAGCGGUAGCAGCGCAUGCUCCGAAUGGUUGCCGGUGCAAGGAGGAUACAGGGAUGCUACAUUGCUGGAGGAGCAGUAGCAUGUAGUAGCUAGCUGAUGAAAAAGGUAUUGUCCUGUAGGUUUGGUCUUACCUAGUAUGGAUAACAUUUUUAUGGAAAACUUGUGAUUUCCCUGGUGCGCUAACAUGAUGUGUUGGAAUAUCAGUAUCCGCACAGCCAGCGGCCUGCUCUGGCCAUGCCGCACCACCACUGGCAUGUCCACCAUGGUUGCUGGCAGCCGUCCAAGUUGAGCGCUGAUGGUAGUCCUCUCCAUGCAUCAACGACACUCUCUCACUCUCACAGCAAAUCUCUCUCUCUCACUUUGCUUCGGCUAUUAAAAUGCGUACAUAUGUUCUACUAAUUAAGUAGUUAGGAAGAUGUGAAAAGAACUUCCUCUUUAGGUGUUCAUUACAAUUUACUAUUUUUGUUCAAUUCAAAAAUCUUAUUUUAGCCAUGUAAUAUACGUAGUUGGCAAAGAUGACUAUAGUUGUUAUAGCAAAAGCAGUACAAACUUUUUAGAAGUUUCUUUUUGAACUUCUCCCAAUUAUGAUGCACAAAAUAAAGAAGUAUGGGAUCCUUGGUUUACUUACAGGUAGGUCAUCAUUCAAACCUAACACAGAAACUCCUCGCUCGACAUUCGAACUCUUCUUUUCUCAAGACUAGUACUGCUAACUGUUCUUUCACUAUGUAUUCUUUCUCUCAGUUCAUACAGAAACGUGGUAAUAGUUUGAUGUGGAGAAAUAGUUCAUUUUUAUAUAUCAUAAGAAGAAAAGAACAUGUUUCCUAUAGGAGAAAAUCAAAAUAUUAUUAGCAACUCACUAUGUAUUCUACCAUCAGUUCUAUGUGUGUUAGUGAGAGGGUUCGGUGUCUCAUUGUUUUCACUUGCCCAGAAAAAAAUGUUUUGUUGCAGACUAGGAACAUUAUAUUUGUAGUUUUUUAUAAACAAAGAACUAGUAAGUUCAUAUAAGUUCAAAAGACAAAGCAUCGAAAGUUCAGUCGAAAGCUCUCACCACCUUCCUUUCUAUUUCUUAAUUAUUGUAGGACAUUUCAAGCACUGAGCAAAAGGGAUUAGUAUACAUUGCAGAAGUAGUUGUAGGAUGCUCAAGUUCUUUUGACUUUCUUUUCUCUCAUUCUUGACGAGUUGUUUCUUUUUUCUGGUUUCAAAAGUAGAAGAGGAAGAUGUCGAUGAAAUGCAUGAUAAUUAAUUCCCUUGAAACCGCCAUUGGUAACCUCAUUCUUCUUUCUCGACCGGAAACAAGAGGGAGCUGCAGCACUGAGACAGAUGGAGAUGCACACAUGCCAUGAUCAACACAUGCUAGACUCCAUGUCGAAUGCUCAAUUUUUUCCCUGGACUCUUGCGGCAAUUGAACUGUUUGCUGCGAAACUCCUACGUUUCGAACGAAAUGGUUACCAUGCAUCCAGGCUUAUGUAUAUCAAGAUUGUAUAGAGCUGCAGAUCACAAGAACACAUGCACUAUAGUGUCCACUUGUUGUCACUUCCCAUCUCCUGUAUUAUUCCAUCUGUAGCUCAGUCGGUUGUGCCUUGCUAAUGCCCUUUUAUUUAUUGAUGAAACAAUAGAAAAAUGCCCUGUUGGUGCCUAGGAAUUGAGCAAAUGAUGCACUGGUUUGUGCCUGGGGAUAAAGUAGAUGCAGCAGUCCAAC
rnacentral:rRNA from 1 species